ACAGCCGUAUCUCGUUGAAACACCGGUUUCCAUACAAUCACCGAGGUUAAGCAACGUCGAACCUGGUCAGUACCUAAAUGAGUGAUCGCUUGGGAAUAACAAGUGCGG